GAUGAACGCUGGCGGCGUGCCUAAUACAUGCAAGUCGAGCGAACGGACGAGAAGCUUGCUUCUCUGAUGUUAGCGGCGGACGGGUGAGUAACACGUGGAUAACCUACCUAUAAGACUGGGAUAACUUCGGGAAACCGGAGCUAAUACCGGAUAAUAUUUUGAACCGCAUGGUUCAACAGUGAAAGACGGUCUUGCUGUCACUUAUAGAUGGAUCCGCGCUGCAUUAGCUAGUUGGUAAGGUAACGGCUUACCAAGGCAACGAUGCAUAGCCGACCUGAGAGGGUGAUCGGCCACACUGGAACUGAGACACGGUCCAGACUCCUACGGGAGGCAGCAGUAGGGAAUCUUCCGAAAUGGGCGAAAGCCUGACGGAGCAACGCCGCGUGAGUGAUGAAGGUCUUCGGAUCGUAAAACUCUGUUAUUAGGGAAGAACAUAUGUGUAAGUAACUGUGCACAUCUUGACGGUACCUAAUCAGAAAGCCACGGCUAACUACGUG
rnacentral:rRNA from 1 species